AAUUUUGUGCAAACCCGGAUUGCUACUUUCUUGAAUUUCCCAGUGAAACAGGCAACCCAAUUCUAAGUUUUGGUCGACAAUGAUGAAUGAUUGGUAUAUACUAGUAUCAGUUGUCAGGUCCCUCUGCUCAUCCAAGGUCACAAAAUUUUGGUCAAUUUCUAUGUCUUACCCUUGUAAGGAUGGGACAUGAUUUUGGGCAUUGCUUGGUUGGCUACUCUCAGG
rnacentral:lncRNA from 1 species